UCUAGGGUAGAGCCUAGUUGACAUGGCAUCUGCCCGGUAAGCGGAACACUGUGGGUUCGAUUCCCAUACUUCUUGUAGAA